rnacentral:rRNA from 1 species
UAUGGAAUCUUCGGCAAUGGGGGCAACCCUGACCGAGCAACGCCGCGUGAGUGAAGAAGGUUUUCGGAUCGUAAAGCUCUGUUGUAAGAGAAGAACGUGUGUGAGAGUGGAAAGUUCACACAGUGACGGUAACUUACCAGAAAGGGACGGCUGACUACGUGCCAGCAGCCGCGGUAAUACGUAGGUCCCGAGCGUUGUCCGGAUUUAUUGGGCGUAAAGCGAGCGCAGGCGGUUUAAUAAGUCUGAAGUUAAAGGCAGUGGCUUAACCAUUGUUCGCUUUGGAAACUGUUAAACUUGAGUGCAGAAGGGGAGAGUGGAAUUCCAUGUGUAGCGGUGAAAUGCGUAGAUAUAUGGAGGAACACCGGUGGCGAAAGCGGCUCUCUGGUCUGUAACUGACGCUGAGGCUCGAAAGCGUGGGGAGCAAACAGG